rnacentral:sRNA from 1 species
UACAGGUACUGAAGCCGGAAGAGCUGCAC